CUAAGAAUAUUCCGCAAUGGUCGAAAGACUGACGGAGCGACGCCGCGUGGAUGACGAAGGCCGAAAGGUUGUAAAAUCCUUUUGCGGGCGAAGAAGAAGGGGCGGAGGGAAUGCCGCUCUGGUGACGCCGGCCCGCGAAUAAGCCCCGGCUAAUUACGUGCCAGCAGCCGCGGUAACACGUAAGGGGCGAGCGUUGUUCGGAAUUAUUGGGCGUAAAGGGCGCGUAGGCGGCGUGCCAAGUCCGGCGUGAAAUGCCGGGGCUCAACCCCGGAGCUGCGCUGGAAACUGGCAUGCUUGAGUCACGGAGGGGAAGCCGGAAUUCCUGGUGUAGGGGUGAAAUCUGUAGAUAUCAGGAAGAACACCGAUGGCGAAGGCAGGCUUCCAGCCGAUGACUGACGCUGAGGCGCGAAAGCGCGGGGAGCGAACAGGAUUAGAUACCCUGGUAGUCCGCGCUGUAAACGAUGCGCACUAGGCGUCGGGGCGAGCGCCCCGGUGCCGAAGCGAACGCGGUAAGUGCGCCUGCCU
rnacentral:rRNA from 1 species